rnacentral:rRNA from 1 species
UACGUAGGGUGCAAGCGUUGUCCGGAAUUAUUGGGCGUAAAGGGCUCGUAGGCGGUCCGUCACGUCGGGAGUGAAAACUUGGGGCUUAACCCCAAGCCUGCUUCCGAUACGGGCGGACUAGAGGUAGGCAGGGGAGAACGGAAUUCCUGGUGUAGCGGUGAAAUGCGCAGAUAUCAGGAGGAACACCGGUGGCGAAGGCGGUUCUCUGGGCCUUACCUGACGCUGAGGUACGAAAGCGUGGGUAGCAAACAGG